CGCAAGUUGCGCCCCAAGCCUUAGGGCCGAGGGCACGUCUGCCUGGGUGUCACG
rnacentral:rRNA from 1 species